rnacentral:lncRNA from 1 species
UAGUCUAAACCACUAUGCUCAUAACAAUGAUUGUUGCUCACGGACAUACAUAACACAACCAAUAACGAUGAAUCAGAAGCAGACCUGUGUGGUAUAUCAUGGAUGAUGAAGAUAUGAUGACAGUAUACAUGUAUGCAUCAUCAUCAAACUGUAGCUGCCAAGCAAUUCACAAUGGCAGAUUCAUUAGGAACCGUAAGCACGGUACCAGACCAUUCAAUUUUUCCCCAAAUCUCCCUUUCUCCACGCCUUCCAACAUCAAUCUCCGCACACCAAAUCUCCAUUCUCCUAGAACCACCACUACCAGCUUUACCUUCCCACAAAACCGUAAGCUUUCCACCACGAUUAGCCAUUGUAGCCCCACAAAGAAACUUUGGAAGUGACUCCACACCUUUCAGCUCUCUCCAAAUCCUCUCUUUUGGAUCAUACCCUCUAAUCUUCCCCAAGUAAUCAUAACAAUACAAUAUGUUCUCAAUCACACAAGCUCUUCCUCUCCAUCCCAAAUCAAGCCUCUUCUCAGGCAUCUCCCAUUUCUUUUCCUUGGGUUCGUAAACAACACCGUUUCGAUCAGCCAUUGCGUAAACCUUCCCUUCCAUAACCGCACUUGCGUGCAUCCAUUUCUCACGAACCUCCAUACCUGGACUAGCCACUGGCUCCCAAGUUUGAGUCUUUAUAUCAAACAUCUCUGCCCAGUUAAUCGAUCGAGCCCAAUUAUCAACUACACAUCCUCCAAUCACAUAAAUCUUCCCAUCAAUUACACCAGCUGCUGCAAAUUCACGACCUACUCUCAUAUUAGAGACUCGUCGCCAAGUAUGAAAUCUGCAAUCGAGAACCCACACGCUCGAAGAAGGCACGUCUCUAAUAGAUCCACCGAUCACGUAAAUCUCUGAAUCUACCACAACGUAAGCGGAUCCGACUAGAGACGGUGAAGGACAAGAUGGGAUUGGAACAAGCAUUUUCGAAUUCGUUGAGUUCGAUAAGGUUCGAUGGAGGAGAGUGAACCAACACGCACCAGAUUCAGGAGGUAUACGGAUUGCUACGUAGAGGAUGUUUUCAGUGGCUCCGACGAGAGCUCUCGUGGCGUAGAGAAGAGGUGAUGUUGGGAGAGAUCGGAAAGUCUUGGAGACGAGUGAGAGGAUUGGAUAGUGACAUCUAGGGACGCGAGCAAGGCAACUGAGAGCAACGUCUUCUGAUAACAACGGAAUCAAUUGCGCCGGUGAUUUUGUUUCCGGUGGUUCGUCGCCGGAGCUCGUUGUAGCCGCCAUUGAUCCGUUUUGAUCAGUCUUUAUUUCCUUCUCAAUUUAAAAGAGAAAAUUAAUUUUGCAAUUAUUCGGUUCG